CUUCCAACCUCAGGUGAUCCGCUCGCCUCGGCCCCCCAAAGUCCUGGGAUUAUAGGCAUGAGCCACUGUGCCCGGGUUUAGGGGUCAGAUUUUUUAUAGCUAGACUGUCUGAGAUCAUCCUGGCCAAGCCAGGGCCCUGUGAGAGGCCAGGAGAAAGCAGAAGAGAGGAGAAAAGCCAAGCGGAAAUCACCAAAGUCUUCCUGAAAGAGUACGGAGAAUUGGGAUGAAGACAAAGUAACCAGGGGCCCAAAGGUGAGAUUGAGUGAGUGGGUGAACUGUGGAUGAAAUGUUAUGAACUCAGGUCUGUGGAGAUGGAAAAAGGAGAGAAGGCAGUGCCUGUGGAAUGAAUUGAGGAGAAAAAUAGAAUUAGCCACUGAACAGACUAUCGAAUUGAGCAAAUAAAUCUUUAAAGAAUUCCAAAGAUAGAAAUGCCUUAGACACAGCAGGAAUAAUUUUUGUUUCAACAUUGGAAGGCAGCCCUGCUUCUUAUUAUAGACAUGUUCAAAUAGUUUAAGUGCUGGUUACUGACCAGAUUAUCUGGCACAAACAUUUGUAUUACAGCAAGUUAUUUACCCUCUCCACACUUAGUGUUCAUAUUAAUAAGAUGGGGAUAAAAAAUGCUAUUUCCUCAAAUCCAAGAACUAUCAAUUUAGCUGCACCUUUCAUUUAUGUAGCACUAAGGGAACAAAAAAAAGUCCUGCCUACUGAACUAUGUGCCUUUCAGAGGUGUUACCAUGUUGGGGGAAAAGGAUUAACUGUAAAAUGGAUUCUAGGAUUGGUCUUAGAAUCAAGGAAAUAGAAUAGUCUCCUUCCUAGUGUUACUGUGAACAGUGCCAGAUGCGUAGCAGUUGCUCACUAUAUUUGAUGAUGAGGAUGUUGGUGGUGACGGUGGUAGUGUUUAUGUAAAAGGAAACAGGCCUGGAGGCUGAAGCAACUGUGACUUGAUGUAAGCAAAAGCUACUAGUCAAGUGCUCCCGUUGCAGAUUUUGCUAUUUUAGACUAGAGGGGUCUCCUGACACAUGAGAGCCCUGUUGCCUGUAAUUCUAUGUUACCAGAGGCUGUGAGUGUGUAUGCUUUUAGGUAUAAUAUGACCAAGUGUUCAUAUGCCUAUUUAAAACCUAAGGGGAAAUGAAGGGCUCAAUUUUACAGUAUGGCUUCUAAUCUUGUGUGCUCCUGAACUCUGGUCUACACACUCCCAACGAUUAGAGAGACAUUUUGUAACCAGAAAUGCUUGGGUUCAGACUAGAAUGCUUGAGUGCUACCAAAUUAAAGGCCAGUGGGAAGCUACUUGGAGAAGCAGCCUCUGGCACUGUGGUAAAGGAGCAUUUAUCUAGAGACGGGCCUGGCUGGAAGGAGAUGGCCACGCCUGUGUCUCAGGAGACUUUAAUUAGGACCAUUGGCUUGGCUGCCCCAUGAUGACAGGUUGAACUUAUGCCUGUGGUUCUGAGCCAUGAAAUCACCCCUGGGAACAGCCCAGCAGAACCGUGGGUGGCACCCCCAAGGACUGGAGAGGAGGUGGCCCUGCAGGCGCUGGCUUCUGCCUGCCAGUCCAGCCGCUCUCUCCUGGGGUUCUCCACCUGGGCCUCGCCUGCUCCUCCUGCUGAAGUGUCUUCUCACUGACCUGGGCACAGGUUACUUCUGUGCUGUGCUUUGCUUUAUUUCUCCUUUGUCUGCAGACACCACUGGGCCAGCACCAGUUCAUCCCGGGUGUUUAGACUCAAACUGGGGUGUCAUCUCCUGAGGAGCCCCUAUGAUCUGCGCUUCCUCUCUGUGCUCCGUGAUGCCCUAGGCUUCUCUCUCUCAUGGCGUUUCCUGUCCUUUCUGUCUGUGUGUGUGUCUCCGCCCUCCCUGAGGAAUGGGACCACAUCUUACUCAUCUUCGUACUCACUGUGCUUUCCCGUAGGAGGCUAUUUACAGAAGGACACAGGAAUGGACAGAGGGGCAAAAUAUCAAAAGCUGAUACUUGAAGGGUCCGCAGAGGAGGAGAGAGGAGGACGGCUUUUCUAAGUAGAGGAAUAAGGAGCCACAUAUGCAGGGGAACCAAGAAAGGGAAAAGGAAAAUUCACAGAAUCUGCUGCUUUAAAGAGUGUGGGAAGAGAGGGGAGGUGGAACGGUUCUACUCUUGACCUUGGGGGCAGCAUGGAUUGGGCGGGCGGGGGUUCUGGGCUGAUGGUGCAUGCUGAAGCUGGGUUUCCUAACUGGCCUCAGAGGCUUCUGGUUUGAGGGAGGUGGAUGGGAGGGCCGAGUGAGUACAGGGGUUGUCCUCCAGAGGACACGUGUCCUUGGCUUCGUAUGUAGGUCUUUGCCAAGACGUCUGUGGGAAGCCUCCUUGAGCAAAGGGGCCCCAAGGCUGUGGACAUGUAUGUGUGUCUGCCAGUCUGUCUGUCUGUCUUAGCAUGAGGUUUAGCAGGCAGCCUCAGGAAAAACUUGCAGCCCAAAAGGGAGUGUCUGGCCAUGCUGCUGGCGCUCCCUCUUUCCUAAAGAGACACGUGUGCAGGUGUCCGAGUGCAGGCUAAGUACAGACUGCCCAUUUCGGCUCCAGAACCCAGCCAGGCAGCUCUUGGCACAGCAUCGCUGAGGGAGGUUUCAGCCUGGGGCAGGGAGUGGGGCCCAGAGUCUGAUAUCCAGUGUCUUCGCCUGGCUAAAGGACAGCAGCUGUCCCUUGGUUACCCAGAGAAAACAAUCAGGAAAGGCUCGCGGUCGUGUCUCUCAGUCCCUUGGACCGUUAGGUCGUUGCCCUUGAUUUCCGUGAGCUUUAUCUGACUGCAAGGUGCCGUAGGAAUUCCAGCAGACAGUGGAUAUAGAACUGCCUCGUCCCAUCCUGUAGCCACUGGCUACCUAUUGCUGUUGAGCACCUGAAAUGUGACUGGUCCAAACCGAGAUGUGUUUUCCAGUAGAAAAGACACACUAGAUUUCAAAGACUUAGAAUGAAGAAAAGAUAUUAUGUUGUUAAUAAUUUUUGUGUUGGUUUCAUAUUGAAAUGACAAUACUAUGCAUAUGUUGUUGGGUUAAAUAAAAUGGACUAUUAAAACUA